UUCCUGUAUCUGCAAUAAAUAACAUUUUUAUAACAAUAAUAUCAGAAGCCAUAAUAUUUGUAAAACAGCUAGAAAAUAUGAUAGCUGUAAAACCUAUUCCUUGACAGAAGUCCAGAGAUGGUGAGCUGUUCUUUCCAAGUUGGACUAUAAAGAGAAAAUCUCAAACAUUUCAAAAGUUGAGCAGUUUCACAGAUAUGAAGAUAUCUAUCAAGAUAUGAAGCAUUACAGUGAAUAGGUUUAAGCAUAUACAAGGCAGGCAGCGAGUGAGGCAGAAAUCAGAAGAAACUAAUCCAAAAU